GGGAACAACUCUGAGUGUACCCAAGGAAUAAGGGGCUGCUAACUUCGUGCCAGCAGCAGCGGUAAUACGAAGGCCCCAAGCGUUAUCCGGAUUUAUUGGGCGUAAAGCGUUAAUAGGGGGCUUGAUACGUCAUUGGUCAAAUCCUCGGGCUCAACCCGAGGGCUGCCGGUGAUACGGUCUGGCUUGAGGUCGGAAGAGGCACACGGAACUACCGGUGUAGCGGUAAAAUGCGUUCAUAUCGGUAGGAACACCAAAGGCGAAGGCAGUGUGCUGGUACGAAUCUGACGCUGAAUAACGAAAGCGUGGGGAGCGAAUGGGAUUAGAUACCCCAGUAGUCCACGCCGUAAACGAUGGAUGCUAGGGGUUGGGAGUUUCGACCCUCUCAGCCUCGCUUAAGCUAACGCCUUAAGCAUCCCGCCUGGGAAGUACGGCCGCAAGGCUAAAACUCAAAGGAAUUGACGG
rnacentral:rRNA from 1 species